AUUUAACACAUACUUAUAAACUCUUUUGUGUUUUUCAUUAUUGCUUUUCCUCCCAACCAGAUAUAACUACUUGGGCAGUAUGAAUCACGCCUUAUACUUUCAAAUCCACCACAGAAUUUAAGUUCCGUGUUGGAUAUGUUUCCAGUUUGGGGUGAAUAGAUAACUUAGAAAACGCUGCGCCAUUCACCAUUCCUGCAGAUUCUGAAAGGAGCGGAGAGGAAACCCACAGGUCCUAAGAACUUGCGACCAGCGUCCAAAUCUUGGGAGUAAGGCCGAGUAUGAAGCUGCGUUCGUGGAGACAAAGGUCCUCAGUUCUCAUCCUGCAGGACUGGGUGGCAGAGGCUUUCUUCCUGGAGACACCACUCACACGAUCUGUUAGUGACUGAAUUUCUAAAGACAAAAGACAUUCCUGCAAUCCUUUUAAUAAAAGCAAGGUUUGGGACUAAUCGAAUGGAAACAACAUGGGUGAGCCUUUAGAAAUAAAAACAUCCCAGGGAAUCUAAAGUGUCAUUUCCUCUCUGGAAGAAAGGAAGCACAAAACAUGCUAGGUCACUCAUUUUGCCUUGGUAUAAUAAGCCACUGUGAACAUACCAUGCUUUUUUCAUCUAUUCUCACUUGGGUA